GGAGUAGUGCGUGUGCGUGUGCCAGGGACAUGCCUUUGCAGAUGUGAACGCUGCCGCUUUUCGACUUUGUUUUUUGAGCACAGAACCGCCGAACAAGUAUCCAAAAACAAUGGCCAUCCUGAAUCGUUUUACGACCGCAUACUGGAAGAAUCUUCAAGGCGACCGGCUAAAGAAGCAGCUGUUCAUUUUACGCGCCGCCUUGCACAAGUCGGCAGCCAGCGAGGCUUCUGGGAUCUCCGCAGCUGGAGAAGAGGCCAUGCCUGACAAACUGAUCACAGCGCGGGAUGUCGGCGAGAAAACCAGAAUCAUGACCCUGAAGGAGAUGCCUGGACCCAGCACCAUCGGCAACUUGAUCGAGUUCAUCUGGAGAGACGGCUUUAGCAGAAUUCAUGAAAUUCAGAUGGAGCACAGGAAGAAGUAUGGCAAAAUUUUCAAAUCCCGUUUUGGGCCCCAGCUGGUGGUCUCAGUGGCCGACCGCGACUUGGUGGCUGAGGUGCUGAGGGCUGAGGGCGUGGCCCCUCAGAGAGCAAACAUGGAGUCCUGGAAGGAGUACAGAGACAUGAUAGGCAGUUCCACUGGCCUUAUCUCAGCUGAGGGAGAAGAUUGGCUGAAGAUGCGGAGCGUCCUCCGGCAGCUCAUCAUGCGUCCCCGUGAUGUCGCAGUCUUCUCUGAUGACGUGAACGAAGUGGUCGAUGACCUCAUCAAGAGAGUUCAGAUUCUGCGCGCCCAGGAGCCUGACGGAGCAACUGUACUCAAUGUGAAUGACCUCUUCUUCAAAUAUUCCAUGGAAGGUGUAGCAGCCAUUUUGUACGAGUCCCGAUUAGGCUGUUUGGAAAAUGAGAUUCCCCGGGAAACCCAAGAAUACAUCAGCGCGCUGCACCUCAUGUUCAGCUCCUUCAAGACAACCAUGUAUGCCGGGGCCAUCCCCAAGUGGCUCCGACCAGUCAUCCCCAAACCAUGGGAGGAGUUCUGUCUCUCCUGGGAUGGCCUCUUCAAAUUCAGCCGUUUACAUGUUGAUAAGAGGCUUGGCGAGAUCAAGGCACAGCUGGAGCGGGGAGAGGACGUGAAGGGGGGACUGCUCACACACUUGCUCAUUACCAAGGAGAUGACCAUGGAGGAGAUCUACGCCAAUUUAACGGAGAUGCUACUGGCUGGGGUCGACACGACAUCCUUCACCCUGUCCUGGGCCAGCUACCUGUUGGCACGGCACCCGCAUGUACAGCAGCAAAUCUUUCAGGAAGUGACAACAACUCUGGGACCAGGAGCAGUAGCCACAGCCGACGAUGUCCCUCAUCUGCCUCUCGUCAGAGGGCUGGUCAAAGAGACACUCAGGCUUUUUCCAGUUCUCCCUGGAAACGGACGGAUUACCCAGGAUGACUUGGUUGUGGGCGGAUACUUCAUCCCAAAAGGGACUCAGUUGGCCCUUUGUCACUACUCCACAUCUUUCGACGAAGAGAACUUUGCCGAUGCUUCAGACUUUCGACCGGAUCGCUGGAUAAGGAAAGAUUCCACGGAUCGCGUCGACAACUUCGGCUCAAUUCCCUUUGGCUACGGCAUCAGGAGCUGCAUUGGCAAGAGAGUAGCCGAGUUAGAGAUGCAUCUAGCUCUCACAAGGCUCAUUCAAAGGUUCCGCAUUUGCAUGUCUCCGCUCACCGCUGAUGUCAAAGCCAAAACCCACGGCCUGCUGUGCCCUGCUGCCCCCAUCCACCUGCAGUUCAUCGACCGGGAAAACUAGACUGAGCCCACUUGUUCUACUGUAGCUUUUAUUUAUUUCUUUCUGCUUUUUAGUACACCUCCUGUUGUUGGAUGACAUUGUGACGCAUUGCCUUCGAGAAACCUCAGUCUCAGACACAACCUGUUGGUUAGUGAGGAGCACACAAAACCAGUACUGGACCAGGUAUUGUCCUGGGCUUGAUCAUCAAGUUCUCUGUCACUCCGUCCGAACAAGGCAAAUUCUACAUCAGUUUACCAGGAGAGUUUAUAUUGCAUACUUUGCAUGUGGUUACCACUCCUUUCCUCAUCACAAGUGUGACGACAGGUGUUGCUCGUCUAUUUGGAACUUCAGGAAAAAUCACUGCACUGGCGUCAGCAUAUUUUGCCUCAACGACUCUUCUGUCUGUGACUUUGGGGUUGAUCCUGGCUCUGUCCAUCGAGCCAGUGGAUGCCAUGAGAAAAGAAGAUACAGAAGAUACAGAAGAUAAGAAGAUCUCUAUUGUCGACGUCUUGGUGGAUCUAGUCUGGAACAUUUUUCCAGAAAACCUGGAUUAAUCCCGACAGUACAAGACUGAGAGGUUUGAGUCUAUAAUUGAGGCGGAUGAGCAACAUUUGACUUUGGAGCAGAAUGCAACACAUGUGCAAAUUGUGAGACAUUAUGUUGAAGGCACCAACAUGUUGGGCCUGAUGUUCUGGUCUUAUCUGAUUGGCCUGGGCAUCAUCAGGAUAGGAGAACGUGAAGAUGUCCUAUUAGAGUUAUAUACUGUGUUCGACGAGGCAGCACAAUGUGUGGUCCACUGGAUUCUGGGCUUCUUGCCAUUUGGAAUGGUCUUCAUGGUCAUAGGCAUUGUCAUUGAGGCUGACGACUGGGAAAUAGCCAUCAAACUCGGAAAGUUCAUGGGAGUAGUAGUUUUUGGCCUUACCCCUGAUCUAUUUCCUGUUUGCGAGAUGUAACCCCUAUGCUGUCAUCAAGGAGGUUUUUCCUGCCUUAAAGACUGCACUCAUUGUCUCUUCCAGAUCUGCCACACUGCCACUAACUUUCCAAUGUUGUGAGGAGAGACUCAAGAUCGACAAAAGAAUCAGUCGCCUCAUUCUGCCCAUCUGGACCAACAUCAAA